AGAAUGCUCUCUGCACUGCAUUCAACCUGCAUUUCUCUGUCUGUUUAUGUUUAUUAUUUUCAUCAUUUAUUAAAACCUUUUAUUUUAUGAAGCAUGUCUGGAGAAGUUGUCUCGCUAUGUGAUUUAAGCCAUUUCUCUGAACAGGCUGGACCCUCAGAGAUGCCCCGUGCAAAGAGGGUGAUUUCUUGCUCAGACAAAAUGAAGUGUAAAGGCCCUGGGCAGAGGUGUUUCACAGGUUACCUGCACAGCAGAAGUCCCUGUCAGAACACCCCAUCAGCAGCCUGUCUCCAUCCUCAAGCAGCCCUGAGUCAGCAGUGGAGGGUGCGUGGUGCCUGCGGUGACACACGGAGCCCCAGCCCCGCAGCACGGAUCGCACACGAGCGGCGAGAGGAGGCCCCAGACAAACAAGUCAUGACUGCUUUGACAACGUGAUCCUCACAGAAGUAACGCGAAGCACGCUCUCCACCCCUUUGUUCCAAGCCCACGUUCUUGUCCAGAUCACGGAAUCCAUGCCAUCAGCCAGUCUGUCAGCAGCGUCCCAAGGCCGUCCCCACUCCUGCUCUCCACUUCCCACGGGGAUGCUGCUGGAGCCUCGCUCUGCUCUGUCACUGCUCCCCUGCAGGGUGAUGCUGGGGGGUCACAGGACAGAGCCCCUCACAGACACCUCCGCUGGGGAGUCAGGUACCAGAGGGUUUGCCACACACCCGAGGUAUGAGCACAGCCUUGUCAUCCUGCAUUUACAAGGCUCAUCUGGAAACCCUGAAACCACUCUCAGAAAACCCUGUGUGCCUCACACUUUCUUUAGAUACCGUAAAAAAGAAGUAAAAUGUUUAUGCGGUAUGUGCUUUUGGCUUUUGACAGCCUGUUUCUGCAGCACAGAUAGAAAAAAUAAAGGGAGCUCUGUAGUGAAGAGAUUGCACUGAGGAAUAUUUCUAAAUCACUGAUCAGUGAAGGAAAUAAAGGGCCUUAGAGCUUGUUGCUCACUUAAAGCAAAUAAACAAACAUAAAAAA